ACGAGGGGGGCAAGCGUUGUUCGGAAUUAUUGGGCGUAAAGGGCGCGUAGGCGGUGCGGUAAGUCUGUUGUGAAAUCUCCGGGCUCAACUCGGAGCUUGCAUCAGAAACUGCCGUGCUUGAGUGUGGGAGAGGUGAGUGGAAUUCCCGGUGUAGCGGUGAAAUGCGUAGAUAUCGGGAGGAACAUCAGUGGCGAAAGCGACUUCCUGGACCAAUACUGACGCUCAUGUGCGAAAGCGUGGGGAGCAAACAGGA
rnacentral:rRNA from 1 species